rnacentral:lncRNA from 10 species
UACAGAGCUCUGCUCAUCUUUUAGACUAUAUGGCACUCAACUCACGUCAACUUUUAAAUGUGGUUUCUUUCUUUUAGAGCAAAUUUUGCAAUGAAUACAUUCUUGUAAAAGCACUUAACUUUACAUAAGUGUUUAAAGGAAAACACAUAGAUAUAUCCCCAACCUUCUUUUUUCUUUUUUUUUUUUUUUUUGUUAUAACAUCUGCCUACUUUUCUCAUUUAAUUAAUACGUUAAGUAAAAUCUUUAGCAUUUGAGAAGAU